rnacentral:rRNA from 1 species
UGGGGAAUAUUGGACAAUGGGCGCAAGCCUGAUCCAGCCAUGCCGCGUGAGUGAUGAAGGCCCUAGGGUUGUAAAGCUCUUUCACCGGUGAAGAUAAUGACGGUAACCGGAGAAGAAGCCCCGGCUAACUUCGUGCCAGCAGCCGCGGUAAUACGAAGGGGGCUAGCGUUGUUCGGAUUUACUGGGCGUAAAGCGCACGUAGGCGGACUUUUAAGUCAGGGGUGAAAUCCCGGGGCUCAACCCCGGAACUGCCUUUGAUACUGGAAGUCUUGAGUAUGGUAGAGGUGAGUGGAAUUCCGAGUGUAUAGGUGAAAUUCGUAGAUAUUCGGAGGAACACCAGUGGCGAAGGCGGCUCACUGGACCAUUACUGACGCUGAGGUGCGAAAGCGUGGGGAGCAAACAGG